UACAGAGGGUGCGAGCGUUAAUCGGAAUUACUGGGCGUAAAGAGCUCGUAGGCGGCUCAGUAAGUCAGGUGUGAAAACUCGAGGCUCAACCUCGAGACGCCGAUGGAAACCGUCUGGCUAGAGUCCGGAAGAGGAGAGUGGAAUUCCUGGUGUAGCGGUGAAAUGCGCAGAUAUCAGGAAGAACACCCGUGGCUAAAGCGGCUCUCUAGUACGGUACUGACGCUGAGACGCGAAAGCGUGGGGAGCGAACAGG
rnacentral:rRNA from 1 species